GACGAACGCUGGCGGCGAGCUUAACACAUGCAAGUCGAACGGAAAGGCCCUUCGGGGUUCUCGAGUGGCGAACGGGUGAGUAACACGUGGGUGAUCUGCCCUGCACUCUGGGAUAAGCCUGGGAAACUGGGUCUAAUACCGGAUAGGACCACACACUUCCUGGUGAGUGGUGCA
rnacentral:rRNA from 1 species